rnacentral:rRNA from 1 species
AGGACGAACGCUGGCGGCGUGCUUAAUACAUGCAAGUCGAACGGAAUCCACGCGGUCGCAAGACCGUUGAAGAUUUAGUGGCGAACGGGUGCGUAACACGUGAGCAACCUGCCCCAAAGACCGGGAUAACACCGGGAAACCGAUGCUAAUACCGGAUACCCCCAUGAGGUCACAUGGUCUUAUGAGGAAAGGAUUCUGCUUUGGGAGGGGCUCGCGGCCUAUCAGCUUGUUGGUGAGGUAACGGCUCACCAAGGCGACGACGGGUAGCUGGUCUGAGAGGACGAUCAGCCACACUGGGACUGAGACACGGCCCAGACUCCUACGGGAGGCAGCAGUAGGGAAUCUUGCGCAAUGGGCGAAAGCCUGACGCAGCAACGCCGCGUGGGGAUGAAUGCCUUCGGUUGUAACUCUUUCAGUGGAACGAAUUGACGGUACCCACAGAAGAAGCCCGGCUAACUACGUGCCAGCAGCCGC